rnacentral:rRNA from 1 species
GAUGAACGCUGGCGGCGUGCCUAAUACAUGCAAGUCGAACGAAAGUACUUUAUCAUCGCGUGCUUGCACUUACCGACAGAGGGUUGAGUGGCGAACGGGUGAGUAACAUGUGGGCAUCCUGUCCCUAAGAGGGGGCUAAGACAUGGAAACAGGUGCUUAUACCCCAUAAGCAUCGUAACUGCAUGGUAACUUUGCUAAAGCUGGCUGAUCUAUCCCCGUUGGAUGGGCCCGUGGCGCAUUAGCUAGUUGGUAGGGUAAAGGCUUACCAAGGCAAUGAUGCGUAGCCGAACUGAGAGGGUGAUCGGCCACAUUGGAACUGAGACACGGUCCAGACUCCUACGGGAGGCAGCAGUAGGGAAUCUUCCACAAUGGGCGAAAGCCUGAUGGAGCAACGCCGCGUGAGUGAAGAAGGUCUUCGGAUCGUAAAACCCUGUUAUUAGGGAAGAACGUACGUGAGAGUAACUGUUCACGUUUUGACGGUAUCUAACCAGAAAGCCACGGCUAACUACGUG